UCUCGUGAUGAACAGUUCUUUGCUUCGGCAAGUUGGAAUUACCGACUGAUUCCCCUUGAAGAAAAACAGCUGGCUGUUUCUGAGU
rnacentral:snoRNA from 1 species